UGUAGGCUCUCUGUGCCUUCAGCUGAAAUUAGCUCUGAGUUGCCCCUGAUGUGGAACAGGUCUUCAUAUGGAGAACUAACUGCACAUGAAGAGCUGUAUGUAAGGAACUGCACCGAAGGAGCCUCAUCCAUACCUGGGCCUGAUUUAAGUGACAAUCUUCUGGACCUUUAAGCGACAAACUUCUGGACCAAUUUGCCAACACCAUAUUCAAUUCCAGAGGCUGGGAAGUCCAAGACCAAGUUGGUGGUGGAUUCUGUGUCUGGCGAGAACUUCCUGCUUCAUACAGGGCUGUCUACUUGCUGUGUCCUCACAUGGUAGAAAGAGCCAGAGAAUGCUGUGGGGCCUCUUUUAUAAGGGCACCAAUCCCAUUCAUGAGGGAGGAGCCCUCAGGAGCUAGUCACCUUCAAGGCCCCCCUACAAAUACCAUCAUCUGGCGGGGGGUUUAGGAUUUCAACAUAUAAAUGGAGAGGGGGUACAUAACAGUCCAUAACAAUGCCCUCGCCAAAUCAAUGUAGGGUCCAUAAAGCUCUG